UUGGCACUCUCUGCAUAUUAAUUGUGGUGGAAAUGAAGCAAAAAUAAAUGGCAGCACAUUUGAAGGAGAUGGACAAAUUGGUGGUGGUGCUGCAACGUUCCAUUUACAAGAUGAUACUAACUGGGGUUUUAGUAGCACUGGAGACUUCUCUGAUGAUAAUGAUGACCAAAACACCCGUUACAUUGCAACUUCUGACUCAUCAGGCCUUUCUGAACUAUACAUUAAUGCACGCAUUGCUCCUCUUUCAGUUACGUAUUUUGGAUAUUGUUUAGACAAUGGGAAUUAUACAUUGAGUCUACACUUUGCGGAGAUCCAGUUCAGUAAUGGAAUUACAUUUCGCAGCCUGGGAAGGCGUUUGUUUGAUAUUUAUAUUCAGGUAAUUAAUUAAAAUUAAGAAAUAGAUUUUCAUUGGACGCAUUUCUCUCCGUGAGUUCUUGGGAGACAGACAUGCUAUUGAGUAAUAUGAUGGAUGAUUCUCAAAAUGUUUCUCUGGAUUUUCUUGUUUCAGGACAAUUUAGUUGAGAGGAAUUUCGAUAUAAAAGCUGAGGCUUCUGGGGUUCUUAAGCCAGUUGCAAGAUCCUAUGAUGUCACUGUUACAAAUCACAUUAUAGAGAUCCGUUUCCAUUGGGCUGGCAAAGGGACUACCGCACUUCCUAAAAGGGGAAUCUAUGGCCCCCUAGUAUCAGCUAUUUCAUUGAAUGACCCCAGUGAGUACUUUUCAUCUCUUAUUCUGUUUCUAAAAUGCUUUUAAAAUCGACUAACAUUAUAAUACGUUCCGAAGUCCUGAUUUUUAGUAAUACAAGUUCAAAUGUUUUUGUUUGAAGUUUAACUCUUUACGGCCAUUGCCAUUGUACAUUAGAAAACAACCAAAAUUCAGAUAUCUAGUUUGUUUCCAGCCAUUUUCUUAUGUAUCCAUUUACGUAACAGGAAAAAGAAAAUCCCCAUUAGUUAUUCAGCCUAUUCAAUGUAGUUCUGAAUUUUUUUCAUGGCCACACAUUUCUGUAAGGCAUUUGUUCCAUGUUUUCACAUGCUUCUGAUAAUCAAAACUGCUUCAUGGAUUCUCAUCGGCAGAGUUCAAACCUGAGAAGAAGAAGGUAGUACCGAUUGUUGUUGGAGUAGUUGCAGGAUUAUCUCUCAUAAUCUUGGUGGUCAGUAUCCUCGGUUGGAGAUACUAUUUGAGAACCAAGAGGCGCAAAGAGACAGGUGUGCGCUUCUUUUAGAUAAAAAUUUAAAAAUGCUUCAAUUUGCUACUCAACAUUUAUUCACAUUCAUUUUCUUUUUCAUUAGAAUAAUCAAAAUAGUAGUUUUAUAACAGCAUUAAUUUUAGUUCUAGACAGCAUUUAUGUAAGCAUUUGAAGACAUUUGGGUUCAAACUACAUGCUGAUGCUAAUUUUGUUUAAUGAACCCGGAAACUCAUCUAAAGGCUAAAGCACACUUGUCUCAUCUAAAGGCUAAAGCACACUUGUCUCUCUUUAUUUGGACAGGUUUUAUGAAAGAGUCGGAUCUCCAAACAAUUUCUUUUACCUUAAAGCAAAUUAAAGUUGCAACUAACAAUUUUGAUUCUGCAAAGAAGAUUGGAGAAGGUGGAUUUGGACCUGUGUACAAGGUAUAUUGGCCAACCUUUUGCCCCUAAUCAUCCUCUUAACACAAAAUUUCCUUCAAUGGUUACUUAAAAUUUGUACAUUUCUUUUUUCAUAACUGGGAUGCAGGGUCAACUAGCAGAUGGUACUAUAAUUGCUGUGAAGCAGCUCUCUUCAAAAUCAAGGCAGGGGAAUCGUGAAUUCUUAAAUGAGAUAGCCAUGAUUUCGUGCUUGCAACACCCAAAUCUUGUUAAAAUUCAUGGCUGUUGUGUUGAAGGGGAUCAACUCUUGCUAGUAUACGAAUACAUGGAAAACAACAGCCUUGCCCGUGCUUUGUUUGGUAAGUUUAGUCUAGUAAAACAAGAAGAAAAUGUUACAUACAGGUAUAUUAUGUUUCAUUUUCUGUAGGGAUGUUUCUGAUUGGAUUUGGAAUGGUAAUUGUAUUUUUAAGGUCGUGAAAACUGUGAACUGGAAUUGGACUGGCCGACCAGGCAGAAGAUCUGUCUUGGCAUAGCCAGGGGGUUAGCUUUUCUUCAUGAAGAAUCAAGAUUCAAAAUUGUUCACAGAGACAUCAAAGCUACAAAUGUUCUGCUAGAUAGGGAUUUAAACCCCAAAAUAUCAGAUUUUGGACUAGCUAAGCUUGAUGAGGAGGAUAAAACCCACAUCAGCACUCGCAUUGCUGGAACCAUGUAAGCCUCAUUUCAUGUCUCUCAUUUAAAACUGAUAAUUUUGUUAUUGUUUCAGUGUAAUACAAAAUUGAUAAUUUUGACUUCAGAGGAUACAUGGCACCAGAAUAUGCACUCUGGGGCUAUUUGACCUACAAAGCAGAUGUUUACAGUUUUGGGAUCGUGGCCUUGGAAAUUGUUAGUGGGAAAAAUAAUAUGAGUUAUGCUUCAGCUCUGGAGUUCGACUGCACUUGUCUUCUCGAUUGGGUCAGCAACUAACUCAUAUAAUUCACCUUCUGCAUUUUCAUUUCUGUGGUUGUUGUGUCUUCUCUAAUGCUAUGUUUUGGUUUGGGUAGGCCUGUCAUCUUCAGCUAGAUGGAAAGUUAGUGGAGCUAGUGGAUGAAAGGCUAGGAUCAAAAUACAACAAGGAAGAAGUAGAAAGGAUGAUCAAAGUAUCUCUUUUGUGCACAAAUGCUUCGCCAUCACUAAGGCCAACAAUGUCAGAAGUGGUAAACAUGCUGGAAGGAAAAACUGCCAUACCAGAUAUGAUACCAGAAGCUGGAAGUUAUAGUCAAGAUUUGAGGUUCAAAGCCUUGAGAGACCAAAAGGGGCUGAGGCGUAGUCAGAAUUCGACAGCAACUCAGUCCCAGCAUUCAAUAUCAGCUGAGUUCUAUCAGGCCUCUUCCUCUACUUCUGCUGCCCAAGAUCUCUAUGAAAUUAAUGAGGAGUCAUAUAAGAAGUAUAAAGUCAUUAGAGACGGUUAUAAGCUGAUCCAAGGAAUGAAUUCAGAGGUUCAGCUUUCGACGACUAUGCCCUCAUGAACCGCCUAUGAUCUUUACAACCAUAAUUCAUCGAGUUCCUAGAAACAUACAUCAUUUUUGGUGUUGUCAAUUCCGCAGUUCCUUUUUCAUUUUUUGAAAAUAUGUGUGUAUAUACACAUGUAUAUUAUUGUGCAUUUUGUUACAUUGGUGACUGUAAGAUUACAAACUAACUAUACAUUUGGAGUCCACAAAACAAAUGUGAAAAGAACAAAUUUGAUGAUUGCUGGCUUCCUCAAUAAUUUUAGAGGCGCACGCAACCAUUUCCAAUCUGAUUGGCCCUAGCUGACUGCCAUGUCUAGCCGCUCGCAUCCGUCCUGCUUUGGAAAAACAGCAGCGAUGAAUGUAUAAAAAUUAGUUAAAAAAUAGCACAUCACUAUUAAAAGAUAAAAGGCAUUCACUGCAAAAUAAAAAAAAUUCUGUUACAAGAUAUGUUUAAUCUUCACUUUUCAACAUUUUGACUAAAGAAAUAUUGGAUGUGCGUGCAUACAGCAUAUUUUAUUUAUGGAGCUGCAUUGUAUUUUAACCUUUUCUACUGUGUAAAACAAAAAGUAAGGAUAAAGUAAAAGAGAACAAUUGGAUGACGUUGGCUGCUAGAGGCAAAAAGAGAGCUGCUCUGCUGAAGGCAUAUUUUGUGUACAAACUUGAAUACGGAUUCCUAUUUUGGGUUUUGCGAAAAUGUUCUUCUUCUUCAAACGUUUUCCACUUCUUGUGCUGGUUAUGAGUUGCUUUUGGGCUCAAAUUUUUGCUGCUGCUAAACUGCCUCGAGAUGAAGGUAAGCUCAAUUUUUUGCGAUUUUAGUACAGAUUUUCAUUUUUACCAAGUAGGAUCUACUUCGAUUAGUAGGUUUUGAUUGUGUUGGCAGUUGGUUUGAUCCUAUCUCUGAAUAAUUACUUUAUCAAGAUAGUAAAAACCCAGAAUCUCAAAUAUUCUUUUAAAAGCAUUAUUAACAGUUUUUUUUUUAACUUUUAAAUUUUCUGAUGAUGAUGAUGAAAUGCAGUUGAUGUUCUCAAUCAGAUAGCUCAAACAAUGGGAGCCACUAACUGGACUUUCGGUUCUGAUGCUUGUGAAGAUCACGUCACUAUAAAGCAGAUUUUAUUAACAGAUCCUUUGAGAAACAUCACUUGCAACUGCCAAUUUCAGAAUGAAACCUGCCACAUUAUUGCCAUGUAAGUUAGUUGCCUUGAUUCUCUCGUGAACAUGUUCUUCCUUGAAAGUUAAUUCCAGAAUUUAUUCUAAAGAUAUCUUCUGCAAAUCACAAGUUUUUGUAGCAUUCUUUCAAAGAGGAAUCUUGGUCACGCUGUGUCAAUUUUUAAUAUAGUAAAAAAAAGUCUGAACAUUGCUAUUGCCCAUUAAUGGAGUGUGAAAAGUGCUUUUUUUGCGAAAAGGAAAUUUCUUUUCCCAUAAAAUAAUCUGGGUUUGCUUUACUUUUUCAGGAAAUUCAUGCUUUUCAGCCUUCCAGGAACUCUUCCACCUCAAAUUGUCAAUCUUCCUUACCUCGAAACUGUGUAAGAUUGUACACAACUUUCAUCAAUGCAUAUAUAUGGUAAUUUUAUUGUUCGCUAAUUUUUUAUGCAUUUGGGAUUGAUACCCAAUUUUCUUGAGAGGGUUUCUGUGAAUGCUUGUGAAAGAACUUUAAAAGCAGUUGCUGAUGCUUCUCCAUAAAGCAUUUCCAGUACAUUUUUGACCCUCAAAGAAUUUUCUAGAAAUCAUCUACAAGUGCUUCCUCAGAAGGAAUUUUGCAUUUUUGUUUAUUUUUAGACUAAUGCUACCAAAAAAUAGAUCCAUGCAAAAAUGUAACUAAAUGCACCCCUAUUAGUCUACUGCAUUAUGAAUAUCUUCGUUUCCUUCUUUCUUUUACAGACCAAUUUGUAAAUUUGAUUGAUAUUGUUGUGGAAUGCAGUGAUUUUGCUUACAACUAUCUGCAUGGUUCGAUACCACGUGAAUGGGCCUCGAUGCAACUGAAGUAUAUGUAAGCUAUAUCUACAUCUUUCAAUCGGUCGAGAAAAUAAAAUUUUGUUUGUCUCACUGAAUUAACCAUAUUGGAAUUGUCCAUGCAGCUCUGUUUUUGCAAACCAAUUGUCAGGCAAUAUUCCAAGCCAUUUGGGGAACAUUACUAGUCUCACAUACUUGUAAGCUUUGAAAACUCAUCAUGACUACAAUAUCCAGUUGAUGGACUUGCAGAAAUGAACUGAUCAUAGUUUUUCAUUAUUUUAAAUUUUAUGAAUUUUCCAAUUAUUUUUUAUUUCUUUGACCGAGAGAACAAAAUUCUUGUUAAAAUUCUUGUUUCUUCAAGGAGAUAAACUAGAAGUCUUAUGCUUAAUUAUUCCUCAGAAUAUUUUCUUUGUGCAUGUGUAUGUGCAAAUUUGCAGGUAAGAGUCCUUUAAGUUUUUAUAUCAAUAUGUUCUGCGAUUAUUAGAAAUCUCAAUGGAUCUGUUUACCAGGGACCUUGAAGAAAACCAAUUUUCAGGAACAAUACCUCGAGAGCUUGGGAAUUUAGUUAACUUGGAAACCUUGUAAGGCAUUUAUGGGGUUUCUUUACGUUCAGUUUUCGUCCGUUAUCAGCAUAUUCAUCGGAGGAUAAUCUACAUUUUAUUGCAGGAGACUAUCAUCCAAUAGAUUGAUUGGAAAUUUACCAAUGGAACUUGUGAAGCUGAAAAAUUUAACGGACUUGUAAGCUUUUCAAAAGUUUAUUCUGAGGAUAUUCUGAAAUUUGGCAGAAAGUGUAAGCCAUAAUUCAUUCUUGUUCUUGUUGGACAAUGCAGUAGGAUUAAUGAUAACAACUUCAAUGGGAGUGUGCCAGAUUUUAUACAAAGCUGGACACAACUUAACAGACUGUAGGCUCUUCGACAUGCCAAAAAUUGUUCAAGUUACUGUCAGGCCCUUGAAAUAUUAUUGAUUGCUUUACUUAACUUAAUGCAGAGAAAUUCAAGGUAGUGGACUUGAAGGACCCAUUCCGCCAUCAAUCUCUGCUUUGGAUAAGCUAAAUCAAUUGUCAGUGAAAAUUUAAUAAGUAUUCUUUUACAAUAAUUCAAAUGAUUUAAUACUUUCAUUGUCAUAUUAGUUUAGCAUAUUGAAUAUUGCUGAAAAGAUAUGUUAAUGACGAUACUUAUAUGAACAGGAGGAUUAGUGACUUGCAAGGAACGAAUCAGACUUUUCCGAUGCUUAGAAACAUGACAGGCCUUACACGGAUGUAUGACUCUUCAUUUUUAUCACAUUAAUGGAGUUUAUUCACCUCAAAAUUGCUUCAUCUGAUUUGAUUGUUGAUGGAUUUCCAGAAUUUUGAGGAACUGUAAUAUAGCUGGAGAGAUACCUGAAUAUAUAUGGGGAAUAAAAAAUCUUCGGUUUCUGUAAGUAUGUUACUUACUUACUUAUCGAUUACCUAUGUUCUAUUGUGCAGAUCAUCAUAUGUAGUUAGAGUCUCUAAUUAGCACACGUGUAAAUUUUUGUUCUCUUUUUUUUUUUUUUACUCAACUUUUGGCUUUUAUAGGGAUCUCAGCUUUAACCAGCUCACCGGGGAACUUCCCGAUGUUGCAGUCCCAGCCGAUUUGAAAUUCACGCAAGUUUCUGAAACAAAAGUUUUAAUUUUACUAUUUUAAUUUUCAAAUGUCCAGAUACUAACUGCUUGAUCUGGCCUUUAUCAGCUUUCUUACUGGCAAUUCUAUCCAAGGGAAUGUACCGGAGUCAAUCCUGAAGAAAGGAACUAAUGUGUGUGUACCUUCUCUCUUGGAUUUUAGAUUCUUAUGUUUAUCAGAGGAGUUUAUGAGCAUCAAUCCUUGUAACGUGCAUUUGUUAUCCAUCGUUAAGCUCUAUAAAUUUGUUAAUCUGUUAAUUUACUAUUGUUGAAAAUGAGUUUGCUGGAGGCAUAUGAACAAGUCGUUACGUUAGGCUUUUUGGAGCACAUCACAUAUCAGAACUAGCACAUAUUAGAAACAAAUCAAUUUUGAGGUUUAGCUUUUUCAUUUGACGAGGAUAGCAGUGAGGGUGUUGUGUCAAACACAAAGACAUUCUCUUGUAUCUUUCAAUUGCUUCAUCAUUUUAAAUUAAAUUUCCAUCUACACUGAAACGAUCGUUGUUUCUUUCUUGCAUGCAGGGACCUUUCUUACAAUAAUUUCACUUGGCAGAGUCCUGAGCAGCCUGCUUGCCGUGAGAAACCGUCAGUAUAUUUCUCUUAAGUGAAUAAUUAUCUGAUUCUGUUUACUUCUAUGUAUAUCCUGUAAUGGAUCCAAGUCCUGAUAGAUGUAUCAUUUUUCACUAGGAAUCUAAAUCUGAACUUGUUCCGGAGUUCUUCAGUGGAAAAUGACUUGUAAGUUCCCUUUUUCUUUCCUAUUAUACCAGCUUAAGUUUCAGUGGUAAUUCCUUGAAAAAAAAAAAAAAAAGUUACAGAAGUAAUUACCUCUACAUGAAGAAUUUUGCGCAUAUAGCUGGUCAUUCUAUCAUUAAAUCUUCAUUUCUUUUUUGAUGGUGCCAUUUGCUUUUCAAUGAAAGCAAGAAAUCUUCUCAUGACAGCCAUUUCUUACUCUACUGUUGUUGACUUCACUUGGCAACGAUAUGGAGCUAAUCUGUUUUGUUUACAUUUUUUCUUGACUAAAACCAGACGUGGAGUUUUUCCAUGUGCAAACAAUUUCACAUGUCAUCGAUGUAAGUAUCAUUCGGAUUUGAUGUUGUUAGAAUUCUCUUUGUAUUAGAAUUUCUUCGAUAUUCUCUUCACAUUUAUUGACUCCUGGAAUCACAAUUCUUUGUCAUGUUCUUUACUAAUUCAAUCAUAAGUCUUGUUAUCACGUACCUAAGUGCUUUAUCUGAAGUACUUAAAGGCAAGGUGAAGUAAUCUAGUUGAUCCCUAGAAUUGAUGAUAAUACAAUUACGUUUGCCGAUCACUCACAAGUUCCCCAACCCCCAACAAAAUAAAUAAUAAAUAAAAAAACUGACCAUAUGAGCUUGUUUUCCUUUUAAUGUUUUCAAAUGGAUUAACAGUAUGUGAAAAGGUCUUUGCUGCUUUAGUAUUUCACAUUGUUUUCUCUUCACAGAUUGGCACUCUUUGCACAUUAAUUGUGGUGGAGGUAAUGUAAAAGUAAAUGACAGCACAUUCGAAGGAGAUGCAGGAGUUGGUGGUGGUGCUGCAACAUACCAUUUACUGGAUGGUACUAACUGGGGAAUCAGUAGCACAGGAGAUUUCACAGAUGAUGAUGAUGAGCAAAAUACUAAUUAUAUUGCAAAUUCACAGUCAUCAGGGAUUUCUGAAUUGUACAUUGAUGCACGUAUUUCUCCUCUUUCGCUUACUUAUAUUGGAUAUUGUUUAGAAAAUGGGAAUUAUUCAGUGGCUCUACACUUUGCGGAGAUCCAAUUCACAAAUGACAAAACAUAUAAAACCCUUGGCAGGCGCAUAUUUGAUAUUUAUAUCCAGGUACUUUAUGACAAUCAAGAAAUAUAUUUUCAUCAAAGUCAACUCAGGCUGUGAUGCCUGAGAAUCAGAUGAUGGGUUGUGGGCUUGUAUAUUUUAAUGUUGUGCCAGAUGUGUUCCAUUCAAAAUGUACCAUCUUGUGAGAUGUCUCUAGUUGUGUGAUAUGCUUAAAGCUAUUCUUGAGAGCCCAUUUUCUUGGUCACUUGGUCAUAUGGAGUUUGUUUCUUUCAGGAUAACAAAUACAAAUUUUGUUGGUUUGCUAUGUUGCAGGACAAAUUAGUUGAGAACGAUUUUAACAUUGAAGCUGAAGCUCAUGGAGUUCUUAAGCCAGUCACGAGACCAUUCACUGCCAAUGUUUCCAAUCACAUUUUAGAGAUUCGCUUCCAAUGGGCUGGCAAAGGCACUACCGCAAUUCCUAGUGGUGGAGUUUAUGGGCCUCUUAUAUCAGCUAUUUCUGUGGAUCCCAGUGAGUGAUUUUCUUUUCCUCUUCUUCCAUGUCCCAUGUCGGGCUAACAAUGUGACAUGUUGUACAAUCAUUUUGAGAAUAAAAGUUCAAGUGCUCCAGUAGUGUGAAAUCUAAGAACUGUAAGCCACAGCACCUAUGGUAGAAAACCAUUUGAAAAUUUAAAGCAAACAUCUAACUAAUCGAUAUAGUCUUGAAUACUCACAGUCAUUCUUUCUUCCUAUGUUUGUGUAUAUGUUUCUGAUUAUCAUAAUUUCUUGGCUUAUGCUUUCUGGCAGACUUCAAACCCCUUUAUGGGGCAGGAAAAAAGAAGAUUGCACCAAUUGUUGCUGGCGCUAUUAUAGGAUCAUGUCUCGUUAUCUUGGUGUUGGGUAUCUUCUGUUGGAGGCACUAUUUUAGAACCAAGAGUGGAAGACAAGAAGGUUUGGAAUCUUUCAAAUAGAUAAGUAACUGCUUUGGGAAGAGAGAACUGAAACUAAAACAAUCAUAACAAAACCUUGUGGCUGGAGGAUAUUUAUCCAUUGAAAAUGUUUUUUCAGCUGGUCUAUGGUUCUUUUACAAAGCUUAUACACUAAAAAUCAGGCAACUUUUUAAAACUGUACUUCUCUUUCAUUUGAACAGAUCUUGAAGGACUAGAAUUCCAAGCCAGUUCUUUUACCUUAAAGCAAAUAAGAGCUGCCACUAGCAAUUUUGAUCCCAUGAACAAGAUUGGUGAAGGUGGAUUUGGACCUGUUUACAAGGUAAACACUCAAACCUUUGUUCAUCGUGAUUAUUCUUUUGUAUACAGGACUUCUUUAAUGGUUCUUCUUGAUACAUACAUACAUGCAGGGUCAGUUAACUGAUGGUACUAUAAUUGCCGUGAAGCUACUGUCUUCGAAAUCAAGACAAGGAAAUCGUGAAUUCUUGAAUGAGAUAGGCACUAUUUCGUGCUUGCAACACCCAAAUCUUGUGAAACUUUAUGGCUGUUGCAUUGAAGGGGAUCAACUCAUGCUGGUAUAUGAAUACUUGGAAAACAACAGCCUUGCCCAUGCUUUAUUUGGUAAGUGUAAUCUAUUGAUGAUUUCUUGAUUGAUUAUAUGAGAGGAAAAUAAAAUAGUAACUUAGAAACACUUUACAAGUUUAUAACAAUCUAUUAUUCUCCCUAGUAAUAUUUCUUGGAAUGGUCAUGUUAAGGUGGUGAAAGCAGUCAACUGAAAUUGAACUGGUCAGUGAGGCAGAAGAUCUGCCUUGGGAUAGCCAGAGGUUUAGCUUUUCUACAUGAAGAAUCCAGAUUCAAAAUAGUUCAUAGAGACAUCAAAGCUACGAAUGUUCUGCUAGAUAGAGAUUUAAACCCCAAAAUAUCUGACUUUGGAUUGGCUAAGCUUGAUGAGGAGGAGAAAACUCACAUCAGUACUCGAGUCGCUGGAACAAUGUAAGCUACAUGUCUCUCUUUUCAAUGACAUUUUGUCACUGUUUUAACAUCAAAACUCAUGAUAAUUUUAUAUGCAGAGGAUAUAUGGCACCAGAGUACGCUCUAUGGGGUUACUUGACCUACAAAGCAGAUGUUUACAGUUUCGGAGUUGUGGCUUUGGAAAUCGUCAGUGGGAAGAAUAAUAUGAGUUAUGUGCCAGACAGUAAUUGCACCUGUCCUCUUGACUGGGUACGAGAUUAACUAAAUUUUUAUUCUUUAGUAGCACAUUUAACUCCAUUUUAGUGGGGACAUGUUUGUUUGUUUGUUAUUUAUUUAUUUGGGACAACGGUUAUGGCAUGAGUUUAAAUCCAAUAAAUGUAGAAUUUUUAACAUAAUUGUCUCGGUUAUGUAUUUCCCAGGCCUUCCAUUUACACCGAAGUGGUACGUUAAUGGAGUUAGUGGAUCCAAGGCUCGGAUCAGAAUUCAACAAGGUUGAAGCAGAGAGAAUGAUUAAAAUAGCACUCUUAUGCACCAAUGCGUCGCCUUCACUAAGGCCAACCAUGUCUGAAGUGGUAAGCAUGCUGGAAGGAUCUUCUAACAUUCCGGAUGUAAUCCCUGAAGCCGGUGGUUUGAGUGAAGACUUGAGGUUUAAAACUCUAAGAGACCAUCCAAGAGAAAUGAAUAGUUCGGGUUUGGAAGGAAGUCUGUCUCAUUAUUCAUCGUCAGCCAGCUUCUUGCCUGGUUCUUCCUCUACCGAUGAUGUCCGUGAAAUUAACGCAGAGGCAUAUUUGAAGUUUAAGGCCGUGAGAGACAGUCAUAUUCAUAUGGAAAGACAAAGAUCGGUUGCCCAAGUAUCAACACCAGUCCCCUCAUGGACUGGCUCUUCAAAAUCUGCCCAUGAUCUUCACAACACAAUUUGAGUCCCGCGGAUGUGCAAAAUCAUCCGCAAGCUAGUUUCAAGUUUCAACAUUCAACUUGUUUGUAACCUACGUCUAUGUGUCAUACCUUCUCGCAUCAUCUUUGUAUCUAAAAUUUUCAGCGACUCAACCUCGGAAACAAGCGAGUCAACAACUCGUUCUUCGUUCUCAGUAGUCACCGUCGACUCCUCCUCCUUCUCUUCGCUAACACCACUUCCGAGAUGGACUGAGUCAACUCGGUCCUUGAUAAUGGCCUCAGAUUUUAUCAAAUUAGUUUCUUUUUCUCUCUGAUUUCGAGAAAGUUUGUACCUUUUCUCUCCGGAGUUAUUAAUAUCAGUUCGGCGGUUGGGGAUAGAACGGCAUCGUAGAGUGGAGGUGGUUUCUUUGUAUUCUGACGUGGAUUGAUCUGAUUGGUCGGCGGGAAUGCAGUCGUAAGAGGGAAAAUCGUCGAGCGUAUCAAAGAAUUCGUCGUCCUCAUCGUUGGUUUUAUUCCGUUCGUCCAUGCAGCAACCAGAGACUAGGGUUUCAGUUUCCGGUAAUCGCUUAUCAGGAUCGAAUUUGCUUGCAAUUCACCGUGUUUGCAGCCUUCGUGUCAUCCUUUUUUUUUUUCGGUUCGGUUAAUAACAUUUGCAUCCCUAAUUUUUAACCAUUUCUCAUGAAUAUAUAUAUUUUUUUCUUUUUAGCUCAAAAUGUCGUAUAUUCUUUCUAACACAUUAAACUUUUUUCUUUUCAAUUUUUUUUUAAAUAGCCUUUGCAAUAUUCAACUUUACCAUUAGUAAUUGUUUGUGACUUAGAGGCCUUAUGCUUCUUUUGAUUUACUGACUUAAUUAACUUAAUUUUAAUCAAUUAAGGUAUUAAGUCUUUUUAUUUUUAAUUUAAUGAAAAUUUUUAAGUCAAUUCUUUUUUACUUUUUACUUAAUCUAAAGAUUAAAAAGUCUGGAUAUUAUCAUUAAAAGAUAUUCUCCAAAAUAUCUCUAUUUAAUUUAUUGAUUUUUAUCCUUACCUAAAUUAAAUUUUAAUAAUUAACAUUAUUACACGUUUCUAUAACUUGUGAUAAUAUAAUGGCAGACUAUUAUUGUUUUUAUCUUUGUAUUUUCUUCUAGUUAGCAUUAUUUUUCUUCAUAAUUUUUAUGAAUAUUUUUCAUAUAAAAACAUCAUAAACUAUAAUGAUGUAUACUAAUUUAGAAUAUUAAUUUAUAAGUGCACAAAUGUAAAAAUAAUUGUUUUUAGAUUUUUAAGUUGAAAAAAUAACAUAAUAUUUUUUUUAGAGAUUCGAACAAAAAAUAAAUAAAUUAUUAGAUUCAAACAUUCAGCUCUAUUAAGAUUCAGACUAAUUCAAGUUUAUUUAGAUUUUUUAGAUAAAAAAAAUAAACACCACCUUAGGUUUUAAGUAUACUUUUAUUAUUUUAAUAAGAGUUUAGAUAAUUAGGCAUGUAAUACAAUAAGAACUCUUAUGACCUAUAAUGUAAGAACUCUUAUGACCUAUAAUGUGUAUAUAUAUAGUCAUUCUCUAAUGAGGCAUCUUUACUUUAAUAAAGUGAGGAUACGACUAAUAAAUAAAACACAUAUUUUAAUAUACUAAUAGAUAAGAAAUAUAAAUUUUAAUAUAUUAAAAAUUAUACUUUUUAUAUUUUAGUGGCAUCUUUAUUUUAAUAAAAUGAGAAUAUCCUAAUUUAAAAAAAGAAUAUAUAGAGAGAGAGAGAGAAUAUUGUAAGGGAGAGAGGAUUUAUGAACUAGAUAUUUUAGUUGCACUAUAUAUAUUUAUCUAAAAUCUACAAUCCUAAUAGAUUUCAAGUUGUAAUAAAUCCGAAAUCGUAAUCAUUCAAAAGAAAAAUGGUUUGGAACCUUUUUAAUACAAACGGAGAACCAAUAUCCUUUCCGUGAGAUUUGAGAAACAAUAAUAUUAAUAGCAAACAAUAAUAUUUGUCAUUUUCUGGCUACGCUAUAGGAUCCGGCGGGAAUCGCCAAUCGCCCAUCAUAUGCAAACAUUUGUUUUGCAAAUGUCUCUUUCAUCAUUGAAAUUAAAUAGUAAAUAAUUAUUUUCUUUCUUUAAUGGGAAAAAGAAAGAAGAGAAAGUUCUUUGCAUGAACAUAAAAAUCUCCAAGUCCACUAAGAAAUGUACUUACAAAAAUAAAAGUCUACUGAGAAAUGUAAAACCAAAAAUUUAUCUUCAAACUGGAGAAAAUUUUUCAAACAACCAAUAGUUAAUGCGCGUAUUUUGUGAAAGAUAGCCAAUGGGAAUGGGAGGUAACGUAAUCAAAUAAUUUAUUGAUUUAUUCAAGUCAUCAAUAUCAAAGUGAGACAUCCAUUUCCAAUUGGAAGAAAAAAACAUAUUUUAAUUACCAAACCAGCGUGGAUUUCUCUCUCUCUCUCUCUCUCUUUUUAAGGUCCAAUUAACACACUAAUCAAGUUCAGAUUGUAUAUGGACAUCCGUGACUAAUUGGUUAAUUGAUUCAUUAAACUAUAUCUCUAUAAUCUUUUCUAUUCAUAUUCCAUUCUAAUGUUGCUAUGACAUAUAUAUAUAUUUGUGUGUGUAUAAGGAAAUUUAAUUAAUUUCCUAACACAUGCAUUAUUGCAUUAAAAUAAUAGUCACUGAUGUAAAAAAAAAAUCAGAGAGCCGUGGCCAUGCUGCCUCAAUUUCGAUGGUCAAAAGCAAAAUAUUUAAAGCAGAAUCCUACAGUUUGACCAUGCAAAAAAACCAAUGAAAAUUCAAAUAUCGGGGGGUCGUAUACCAAUAGAUUCGAUAGGGACCAACAAUUCAAUUUGUGAGGGAUGUAUCUUUCGUUGACCUGUAAGGUAGAAAAAUUCAUGUCGGCGAUUAAUUAAUCAGACAUGCUGUGGAUGAGGUUUAAUAAGAAUCUUAUCAUUGGCAGCAAGUCAACCUUGUGCCGAGACAAUUUUUUAUUAAAACAAUGCACUUGGAUACAAUUCAGAAUAUGACAAAAACAAAUCUAACUUUAGUUUGACUGGUACUGCAUUCUAAAAUCGUACCAGGACGAAAGAGAAAAUCACAUCAGAAGGGUAGUUGGAAUUUUCUUAAUCGAGCUAUUUGCUUGGAAGAUUCAUCAUCCCUGCAUUUAGCAAAUAUAAAAGAAGCGCAAGAUUAUUAAAACAACGUAAUAAUAACAGCUCAUCAGAAGAUCCGUACGGUACAACAAGGAAACUGGGUAGAAUUGAAAGAUGGCUCAUAGCUCAUACCUCACGGCUAGCUUUUCUGGGUCUUCAAAGAUGUCCUUCUUGAAGCUUGACCUGUUCCUUGUCUCAAUUCUGUCUUUAAGCUGCUUAUGGACACAAGUACUUGUUUCUGCUACUCUGCCUCGAGCUGAAGGUUCGACUGAUAAAAUUUUCUUUUUAUUUUCAAUAUCCCCUUCUUCAUGAUAUCUUGUAACCAAUUGUAGCUUAUGUUUCAUUUCUCUCUCUCUCUCUCUCUCUCUUGGUAUUAGUAGUGUAUUAAUCUCAGAAAUAAAGAAUAAAACAUUGUUAAGAGCCUAAGAUGAUAAUUGAAUUGAGGGUCAGCGAUCUUACAAUGGUCAGAUUAGUGGCAUUCAUAAUAUUAUUAAAAAAAUAAAAAAAUACAAGGGAGAAUUGCGUGGGAUAUACCCCAUUUCCUUCCAAAUACCCAAUAUAUACCUAAAAUUAUAACACUCUUAAAUUUUACACAUAUAUACUCUAAAAAACUAGAGAAAGUACAAAAAUAACCACAACUAAAUCCUCAUAAAACUAAACCCAACUCCUCGAAGUCGGGUAAAUAUUCGAGAAUACUCGACUUCAACCAAACCAUACACAAUUAGUAAUUCAGCAUAAAUUCUCGACUUUUUCAUGUUAGUCGGGUAAAUAGUCGAGAAUACUCGAUUUCAAUUGAAAUAAAAAAUUAUUUGAAAAAUUUUCGAUUUUUUCAAGUAAGUCGAGUAAAGAGUCGAGAAUACCCGACUUUAAUUUAACCUUACCUAAUAUUCAUUCAGCAAAAAUUCUUGAUUUUUCAUUAAAGUUCGAUAAUUAGUUGAGAAUACUCGACUCAAAUUGAAAUAAAAAUUUUCUUUUUAAUUAAGUCAGGUAACAAGUCCAGUAUACUUGACUUUGGUUGUGUUAUUAUGUAGAAGUCAUGAGAGAGAAAGUAAACGUAAAUAGAUGGUUUUUUUAGGUUAUUUUUUACUUUUUACACUUUCACGAGGUAUAUGUUUGUAAUGGGGUAUAGAUUUAGUAUUUAAGCACAAAUGGGGGCAUAUUUAAAUAAAAAACCCAAAAUACAACUUCAAAUUUGGUGACUGGUCGAACUCAAAACUGUUAUUUUCACCAAGUUCUGAUGUUUAAUUGAGAGAUGCAUCUUUGUGUAUGUAGUUGAUGCGCUCAAUCAAAUUGCCAAAACAAUGGGAGCUAGGGACUGGACGUUUGAUGCUAAUGCUUGUGACCUGAAUGAGACACCGAUAGUGCUGGAAGAAGGUCCCACCAGGAUCAUUACUUGCAACCUUGGAAUCGAUAAUACAAGCCACAUCACUGAAAUGUAGGAUCUUUUUCUGUCAUUUUAUAAAAUUUGAAGCGGCAUAUUUUUAUUUUUCAGUCUUGUGUUUACGUUGAUGUGAAGGACCAAUUUUGGGUAUGUUUUGUUUUCCAUUUUCAGACAAUUCAAACGUUGCAACCUUUCUGGAACACUUCCACCGGAAUUGGUUCAGCUUCCUUCCAUCCAGAAAGUGUGAGUUGAACAGUCUCCAAUUUAAUGCAUUGGGAGAUUAAACUUAUAAAUAAAUUAAUCGUUUUUGUUAAUUUGCAGUGAUUUUGCCUACAACUAUCUAAAUGGUUCCAUACCAGUCGAAUGGGCUUUGUUGCAGUUGAAGUUCAUGUAAGCUAUAUCUAAUUCUCUCUAAUCAGGUUAAGCAUUUAGCAUUCUACUAGUUUCGUACAGUUAAUUGAUCGUCAAUAAUCUUAAUGCAGCUCUGUUUUUGGAAACCGGUUAUCAGGCAAUAUUCCAAGCCAUUUGACGAACAUUACCAGUCUCACGUACUUGUAAGCUCUCAAUUCUUGGUUUAUGCAAACAUAUUUAGGCCACUGAUGUAAAUGAUAACAAAUUUAUUCCAUUUGUAAUCUGAAUGGGUCUAUUUUACCAGGGACAUUGAAGCAAACCAAUUCUCAGGAACCGUACCUGAGGAGUUCAGGAAAUUAGUGAACUUGGGAACUCUGUAAGGCAUUGUCAAGCUUUUUUGUGGCUGAUAUUUGUUCAUGAUCAAUGUAAUCAUUUGGACGAUAAAUUGUCAUGGGUUACAGGAGACUAUCGUCCAAUCAGUUGAGUGGAAGUUUGCCCACGGGACUAGCUGAGCUAAAAAAUUUAACGGACUUGUAAGCUUUCUUGAUUAGUGUCAGAUCAUGCUCAAAAUUCAUCAGAGGUAUAAGCUGUACUCAUUCUUAUUGCACAUUGCAGUAGGAUCAGUGACAACAACUUCAAUGGGAGUAUACCAGAAUUUAUACAAAACUGGAAGCAACUUGACAGACUGUACGAUCAUCUACAUUACAAAGAUUUCUCAGCAUACAUUCUGGUUCUUGAUUGUUCUUGAUUGGUUAAUUUGAGUUGAUGCAGAGAAAUGCAAGGUAGUGAAUUUCAUGGACCCAUUCCAUCAUCCAUCUCUGUCUUGGAAAAGCUGACACAAUUGUGAGUAAAUAUUUCUCUACUUUUCAAUUACAAUAAUCAGAAUGAUUUAAUACAUCAAUUUAUAUGAUUAAUUUAUUAUAUUUAACGAUACUAAAAGGAUCUGUUAAUUAUGGCACUCUAACAGGAGGAUUAGUGACAUAGCUGGAAGAAAUCAUCCUUUUCCGGAUCUUAGAAAGAUGGCAGGCAUUAAAAGGAUGUAUGCUCAUUGGCUAUUUUCUAUCAUUUUGAUGGAGUAUGAUUAUUCGCCUUAUAAUUAUCUUACAGGAUUAAUGUUGGAUUUUCAGAAUUUUGAGAAACUGUGGUAUUUCUGGGGAGUUUCCUGAAUAUAUCUGGCGAAUGAAUAAUCUGCGAAUUUUGUAAGUAUGCUACAUUCUUUGUUUUCUAAUGCAGAAAUUAAAUACUUGAAAAUGAAAGCAAAAUUCACGGUUAGCAUUCAUGAAAUGUAACACCAACUAGUAAUGUAGUAUUCUUCUAUACCUUGCAGCUGCCAUAGCAGCAAUAGAGUUGAAGCAUCAGCACUUACAGGCCAGUUAAUGUAUUUACAUGGAUAAUCAUUAUCUUUUGAAUUUGGUUUGGACAGGGAUCUCAGUUUUAAUAGGCUAACCGGGAAAAUUCCCAAUGUUGCAACUCCACCGAGUUUGAAAUUCAUGUAAGUUAAUGAAAUCAACUGUCUGGAUUUACAAUGUUAAUUAUGUGAUGUCCAACUCAUUAACCACUUGAUAUGGCCUUGGUCAGCUUUCUAACUGGCAACUUUCUCAGCGGGAACAUACCAGCGUCGAUCUUGAGGAAAGGAACUAAUGUGUGUGUAUCUUAUCACCUGGAUGCCUUGAGUUUUACUUAUUUUGGUGAUUUAUGUUCAUAUAUAUUUGCAAUCUGUUGAUUUACUAUAUAGUAACCAUAUGUAACUUUGUAAUCCUGUUUCUAAAGAGACCAUAUUAAACAUCAAUUUUGUUAAAUAAAUAAUCUUAUGCAUGAAAUUUCCUUCAUUGCUUCUUUCUUGCAUGCAGGGAUCUGUCAUAUAAUAAUUUCACUCAUCAAAACCCUGAGCAGCCUGCUUGUCGGGAGAUACAGUCAGUAUAUUUCCCUCUCUAUGUUAAAUAAAUAAUCUUCUCCGCUUAUAAUAUCACUUGGUAUAUCUGAGUGCUGAUAUUUGCUUUGUCUCCCGUUAUUUCGUUAGGAAUCUAAAUCUGAACCUGUUCCGAAGUUCUUCUGGGGACAGCAAUUUGUAUGUUGCUUUUCAUGCUUUCUUAUUAUUGUAGCUUAUGUGACAGAUUUAACAACCAAUGUAUAAAGAAGUUUGCAAAUAUACAGUAAUUUUAUCAUCCAAUAAAUAAGAAGCAACGUAUAUUUUUAGAUUAGACAAUGUAAUGUCUACUAAUAUUCUUUUUUUCCUUGACUAAAACCAGAAGUGGAGUUCUUCCAUGUAGGAAUAAUUUCAAAUGCGAUCGAUGUAAGUAUACUCUACUAUCAGUAAGUCACCAUAAAAUCUAUAUCUCGAAUAUGUUGACUUUUAGAAUCACAAAUAUUUGGUAGCCUAGCUAUUAAUAAUAUCAUAUUCAAAUCAACUUCAAUUCUUCUGUUUAUUUUUUAAUUGUCAGUUCAUUUCUGGUUUCUUGAAAACUCAUUGCUCAGAUAGUCUUUAACAUUCUUUUUUCUCGGCAGAUUGGCACUCACUGCACAUUAAUUGUGGUGGAAAUGAAGUAAAAGUAAAUGGCAGCACAUUUGAAGGAGAUGGACAAAUUGGUGGUGGUGCUGCAACAUACCAUUCACAAGAUGAUACUAACUGGGGUUUUAGUAGCAGUGGAGACUUCACUGAUGAUGAUGAUGAACAAAACAGACGUUACAUUGCAACUCCUGACUCAUCAAACCUUUCUGAACUAUACAUUAAUGCACGCAUUGCUCCUCUUUCACUUACGUAUUUUGGAUAUUGUUUAGACAACGGAAAUUAUACUUUGAGUCUACACUUUGCGGAGGUCCAGUUCAGUAAUGG
rnacentral:lncRNA from 1 species